UACAGAGGUCUCAAGCGUUGUUCGGAUUCAUUGGGCGUAAAGGGUGCGUAGGCGGCGCGGUAAGUCGGGUGUGAAAUCUCGGAGCUUAACUCCGAAACUGCAUUCGAUACUGCCGUGCUUGAGGACUGGAGAGGAGACUGGAAUUUACGGUGUAGCGGUGAAAUGCGUAGAUAUCAGGAGGAAUACCGGUGGCGAAAGCGACUCUCUGGACGGCAACUGACGCUGGGGCACGAAAGCCAGGGGAGCAAACGGG
rnacentral:rRNA from 1 species